rnacentral:tRNA from 1 species
GAGGGUAUAGCUCAGUGGUACAGCAUCUGCUUAGCAUGCAUGAGGUCCUGGGUUCCAUCCCCAGUACCUACA